CCAAAUACAACUAUACUCACUCUCUGCUUCUAAACAAUCUGACAGUCUCGUUGGCAUUUCACCGAGCAGCUUGCGUGCAUUAGCAUUAAAGCCAGAGACUUGCAUCCAAUACCACACGUAACAAACCCAAACAACCCUUUCUCAAUCAACUUGUGUGUUCCAAAACCUAUCUUAACCAGAAUCUAAACCAGUACACAACAUAUAACUUUCUCAUCCACUGUUCUGUCUCAAGAAAAGAAACAGAGAUAAUACCGGACAAUGAUCUAUAACAGACCAAAAAGACAAAAAGAAGUCUACAUAGACCAAUUGUGAUCUAUCAUGGACCAAGGGCUGGUAAAUUACCAAUUUGCCAUUAAUGAAAGUGGCAUGUGAACCAUUGGAUCAAAUAAUGGAAACUCUAAUCUCGGUCGUCCAAUUUUCUUCUUCCUUUCUCUUUCUCUCGCCUGGGUCCCACCCAAAAUCCAUAUUAACUCCCUCACAUCUUCAUCUUCUUCAUUACUCAACCACCCACGAAAAUUCAUUUCAAUCACCAACCAAAGUUCUCUUCUUCAAGUUUUUAUCCACAAACCUUUAAUUCUGUUUCUUAGGGUUCUUCUACAGCUUUUCUCGUCCUUGAAACAGCAAAUGUGCCUCGUCCUUGGUCUUGAAAUCGCUUGGUAAGUGUAUACUCUCUCCCUCUCCUUCUCUCUCACUCUUCUCUUCUUUUUUAUUUGUUUUCUGUUUAGUUUUAGUCCCAUAAUAUGUAUGUUACCAUUAUGAGUCAGGUUCCAUGGUUUAAGAUAACGUUCUUAUAGUAUGAAUCAUGAUAUUGUAGAUUAAAUCAUUUUUUACAUUGGUUACACUGGUACAACAGACGUUGAGUACACCUGGUAAACCUGGUAAAACUCGUUAAGAAUAACACUAGUACAACUAGUAAACCUGGUACAACUCUAAGUAACACUGAAUAAGACUAUGGGUAAAACUUGUAUAACUCUUAGUAGUCCUUUGACAAGUCAAAUACUAGUAUAACUAGUAUAACUUAUAAACGACUGUUACAUGUAAACCAGUAUAACUGGUAAUACUAGUAUAACCCGUAUUUUAGCGACUUUAGAACUCGUAUAACUGAUAUAACUUGUAAGCUGUAAUGUUGGUUUUAACUCUUUUCAGGAACUAUGGAUGGUACUGGAGCUGUGGUGAUACAUUUUGAUCAUGGUGGAGACAAAAAUAUUUAUACAUUAGUAAUGAGAGGAAAAUAUGAGGAGAUAACCUAUUCUCGCUUGGUUGAUAGAAUAGGCAAGAAAAUGAAUAUCGAUGUAGCUGCGACGAAGCUUCAACUGAGCUACUAUCCCCUGGUCGUGGAUAAUAAGAGGCCUUGUUAUAUUUUGGAUGAUGAAGAUGUUUUAGGAUAUUUAAUGGAGGUGGAUAGGAAAAACCGGCGUAGUGUUUUGCAUGUGGAGUUUUCCGAAAAUAUCUCAGAAAAUCAGAGUAACGAGCAGUUUUCUAUGAACGAGGAAAUUCAGAUUGAUGCCAGAGCUAAUGAUGGUAUGGCUGGAGUUGAGGAGUUGGCAAUUGUUCCUCAAAACCAAUCAGAUGGGUAUAAUCAUGAGGAGUUAGCAAUUGUUCCUCCAAGACAAUCAGAUAGGUAUGAGCAUGAGGAUUGCAAUGAAGAGGGUGAUGAAAUGAAUGAUAGGGAGGAGUUGCCGGCUGUUACACCAUCUGUAGACACAAUUGUCAAUGCUGAGUGGGAUGAUGGUAUUGAUAUGAGUUUGUAUCAAGAAUUUGCGACUAAGGAAGAGCUGAGGAAUUUAGUGGACGCAGGAGUGCAUUCGAAUUGUUUUGAGGUUGAUAUAAUCAAGACGAAUCGUACUGUUUAUGUAUUGAAAUGUCGUGGGGUUGGAUGCAGAUGGUAUUUACGAGCUGCAAGGCUGAAAAACUCAGCCUUUUUCAGUGUCAGAACGUAUAGAAAGAUGCAUACGUGUACUCGGGGAGAGGGAAGUGUAACCAAGAGGGGGAAAAGAGGAACACCAAGCUUGGUCGCAGGAGUGGUGCAUGAAGAUUAUCCAGGCCAAUACAAGACUCCAGAUCCAAAGUCUCUCAUAAAGUUGGUGAAGAACAAACUAGGUGUCACGGUUUCAUAUUCUACAGCUUUGAGAGGGAAACACAAAGCUGUCAGUGAUUUGCGUGGUAACCCUCAGGAGAGUUUUGCUAGACUUCCAUCUUACUUGUACAUGUUAGAAAGAAUGAAUCCUGGUACCAUCACAAGAUUAGUAGUGGAUGAGAAGAAGCAGUUUAAGUAUAUGUUCUUUGCGCUUAAAGCUUGCAUCGAAGGGUUUCAAGCAAUGAGGAAAGUGAUAAUAAUGGAUGGAACUCACCUGAAGGGUGUGUAUGGAGGAGUGCUUCUCAUUGCCACUGCUCAGGAUCCAGAUCAUCAUCAUUAUCCCCUCGCUUUUGCGGUAGUAGAUGGUGAGAAAAAUGCGAGCUGGGAGUGGUUUUUGACUAUACUGAAAACUUUGAUACCAGAUGAUCCUCAGCUUGUUUUUUGUACUGAUAGAAACCAAUGCAUCAUCAAGAAGGUGCACGAGGUGUACCCAAUGGCGAUCCAUGGAUAUUGCAUUUUUCACUUGUCUAAUAAUGUUGCCGGAGCAUGCAGCAAAGUUAACAAGAAAGGGGUUGCCAGAAAGUUUAGAAAAAUUGCUGGUAUGUACACAGAGGUCGAGUUCAGAAAAAGCUACAAUGAUUUCAGGAGAACGUUGCCUCAAGCCGCUGAGUAUCUAGAUGAGAGUGUUCAUGAGACCAAAUGGGCAAGAUGUCAAUUUCCGGGAGAAAGGUACAACAUAGAUACAACCAACACUGUUGAAUCAAUCAAUGGUGUUUUAAAGGAACCAAGGAAAUAUGCAUUGUUGCCAAUGCUUGAUGUGAUCAUUGGGAAGAUGGUAGAAUGGUUUAACAAAUAUCGUGAUUUAUCUUUACGCGUUCCAGAGAGACAGAUACUAAUUCCCUACGUGCAUGGGAUAUUGCAUCACAGUUAUCCGAAGGCAAAAAAGCUCACGGUGAUGGAGCUAAACAGAUUUGAACGUCAGUACACUGUGAUUGGCAAAGAUGGUCAAGGUUAUUAUGUUGAUUUAGGCAACGGAACAUGCCAGUGCAAGUGUUUUGAUAUUGAUCGGUAUCCUUGUGUGCAUGCACAGGCUGCGAUCAUCGCGCGUGGAGAAAUGUCUGAAGACUAUUGUUCUAAGUAUUAUUAUAUGGAGCAGUGGACUUUGGCAUAUUACAAGACAAUAUAUCCAGUGCCUCAUCAUUCAUUAUGGGAAAGUUAUGAAAUUCCAGAUGAAAUCCUAUCUCAGGUUGUCUACCCUCCGCAUGUGGAAAGAAAGAAAGGAAGACUACAAGAAACUAGAUUUCCAUCAGCUGGGGAAUAUCGGAGGAAGAAAAAGAAGAAGUAUCCACCAUUGGUGUGUGAGAAUGAUGGAAUUGACAGCGAUGAAAGUGGAAGCGAUGGAAUUGAUGAAUGAGUCUUACUUAUGUGUUAUGGAACUUGCUUAUGUCUUGUGAGUCUUACUUAUGUGUUAUGGAACUUGCUUAGUCUUGUGAGUCUUACUUAUGUGUUAUGAAACUUAUUUAUGUGUUGUAGAACUUAUUUAUGUAAUGUGUUGUUUCUGUCAGGUACAACAGGUACAAUUGGUAAAACUUCAUUAAACCUAACAUUCAUGUUUUUGUGUUGUUAUACUGGUACAACUAGUAAAACUAAAAAUAAGUUAUACUGGAAUAACUAGUUCAACUAUGUCUAGUUUACUAAAAUAGGUUCUACUGGAAUAACUAGUACAACUAUGGAGGAUCUGAAAUUUAAAUAUUAUUUUAGGUUUUUUCAUAUUAAUAAAACAUUCAAAUGGUCUAAUUUUAAGUGUUUGGAUAGGUUUCUUUGUGUUUUGUAUUGUUUUUUUUUUUUUUCUGGAUUUCUACCUCCAUCACAAAAGUUUGCUUGAUCUACCUUAUACUUUUAAGGUUUGUUAACAUAUUUGUCCACAUAUUUUUUGAAAAACAUACAUGACAAGUAUUUUCACAAUAGUGAUGAUUUCAUUGUAUCCGGGCAAACACAUGUUAACAUAAAUGAGUGGUACAACUUAGAUAAUGGUAUUUCUCUUUGGUACAACUAAUAUAUUCAGGUUUCACUGCCAAAGUACAACUCUGUACAAACUAGUAUAACUAAUAAACUAGUACAACUUUGUGCAAGCCAGUAUAACUAAUAAAUUAGUACAACUUUGUAGAAACCAGUACAACUAAAAAACUAAAACAACUUUGUGUGCAUAAUGAGUUUCAAAUAAGUGGAUUCCCAGAUAAGUCCUACACUUUUUAAUUUAACACUAGGUGUACUAGUUUUUCUAGUUAUACUACUUUCAUAUUUUUUGGCAUAGUUGAUGCUGUAAUGUUGUUUUACUUCCCACCUGUAAUUGCAACCUGUUCAACCACCAAGUUUGGAUUUAGGUUUUAAAACACACACACAUACAAGUUUUAGGUUUUAAAACACACACACAUACAAGUUCAUCCGUUUUAGGUUUUAAAACAAACACAUACAAGUUCCAAAAACAACAACAUAGUUCAGCCAAAUCAGUUUGGCGUAAAAGGAGACCUCAACAAAUGAGAACGCUUGGGCACCCUCUUUGGCAUCUCAGCAGGAUCCUGUGAAUCUCCAACCGAAGCUGUGUUCUCUAAAGCGUCAUCAACUCUAACCUCACCUUCCUUCUCCAAAGCAUCAUCAUCUACAACCUCAUCUGUCUUGUCCACAACAGCUUUUUCCGCAGCAGCCUUCUCAAAUCUCUCUGCAGUGUCUGCCAUAAUUUGAAGUGUAGAUUGCUCAUCUCCAUCUUCAGUAUCUACAUUGAACAAAAAUACAUCCUGACUUAGAUCAUCAUCAUUAAAAAUAAAAUUUGAAGUUAUAUGUUAUCAUGACUUACCUUGCAUCAACUUCUCAGCCUCUACCUCGAUAUGUUUCUCACCAUCCUUCUCAGCCUCUGCCUCAAUCUGUUUCUCACUAUCCUUCUCAGCCUCAUCACCCUUGUCAGCCUCUGCCUCAAUCUGCUUCUCACCAUCCUUCUCAGCCUCAUCACCCUUGUCAGCCUCAUCACCAUCCUCGCCCUCCUUAUCAGGCUCAUCAUCACCAUCCUUAUCAGCCUUAUCACCAUCCUCACCCUCCUUAUCAGGCUCAUCAUCACCAUCCUUAUCAGCCUUAUCACCAUCCUUGUUAGUCUCAUCACCAUCCUUAUCACCAUGUAUCUCACCCUCCUUAUCACCAUGCAUCUCGCCCUCCUUAUCACCAAGUAUCUCAGCCUCCUUAUCACCAUACAUCUCGCCCUCCUGGAACGACCAACUUUCUCUCUGGAUUUUUUCUUCUUCCAACUCCUUUACUCUUGCUUCCAGAAGACGAAUUGUUUCGUCUCUCAAUGCAAAUCCAUCAUCCAUUCUUUUGUUCAACUUCAACUCUAAUUCUCUUAAACUCUCACGACCUGCUUCGCCCCCUGUUUGAACUCCUGCCUCACCCCCUGCCUCGCCUCCUGCCUCGCCUCCUGCCUCUCCUCCUGCCUCGCCUCCUGCCUCGCCCCCUGCCUCGCCUCCUGCCUCCUCUUGUUGCUCUCGGGUUCUCACAUCCAUCUCAUAUAGAUCCGGCCAGAAGAUUUUUUUCCCUGGUUCCAUUAGGAUCUUGUUCCAACUGUCAACAGCUAUGUCUAGCGUAUCCGAAUCAUCUAUCAGCUCCAAGUCUUCAAAAGUCCCUUCAUCCAUUAUUUCAUACAAAAGGUCUACUUCAUUUCCUUUUGGUUCCAAAACACUGAUAAUCUCCUGAAAUGACCAACAACAAAUUACACAUUUAAUUAACUAUGAACUUGAAGAAAAUGACAUAAACAACACUUAAAAAAAUUAUAAGCUUUUACCUUUGUGUUUCCUAGCGUCCGAUAAAUCAUGUCAAGUGGAAAUCCUGUUGUUCCGGUCCUCUUGAACUUCCAUUUGCACAUUCUUGGACAACCAUCAAAACAGUUUGGAACAGGCUCUCUGAAUCUUUCCCUAAGGACAGGGAUACAUUCAAAUGCUAAUAUCUGCACAUCAUUUCACACAAUCACUUUAGUUAUAUUAUAACAAAUAUGCUUAUGAAAAAUGUUAUUCAUAUACCUCCAAAGGGUUGAUAAACCCAGGAAAUACCCACUGUGCAUGCUCUGGGAUCCCAUCACGAAAAUGAUCCCUUACAUGAAAAAUCUCCUUCAUGCAAUCAUCAAAGGUGUAACGGCCCCAUGGAAAUUCGGUGCAAAACUCCAAAUCUUCUACUGCUUGGAGAAGGAAAUACUCAAUGAAGUAUCCUGCUUUGGACCUUCCUCUUAAAACUGUAGCCAGAAAGUAAAGAACCGCCAUCCUCAGACGAUCGCCACUACCAUCAAAUUUCAUCUUCUGAAGUUUCUCCUUAACAUCCGCUUCUGUCACUUGCAGACCCUUUUCCUUCCCAUCCUUUGUCUUCUUCACUUUAAAAUACUUUCUCGCAAACUUCAGUCUCCCUAUGCUCUGAUAGUUUUCUGGAUAUGAGUGGCAGUAUAAACCAGAGAGGAGGCUAUGUUCCCUGAUAGAGUAUCUAAUUGGAACACCGUUUACCCCAAACCAAGCUUGUCGACCCUUCUCUGUAUGCAUAGUACGAAGUAGCAACAUCCACAAUCCCAUCACUUUUCUUGUUGAGGUACAAUCCAUGUGGAAUAUAUGCUUGAACUGAGGAUGUUCCUGAAACCAACUCUUCUCUGAGGCAUCCAACUUACCAAUCGUCUUGUUCAGAAAAUCGUGUUGAUGGCACCUUGAGGAGAGCUUGCAACCCUUUCCAUAGUUGCUCGGAUUGAAGAAAAAACCAGCAGGUCUGUCAGCUUCUACGGUCAUAUCAUCACUCUCAACCUGAAAAAUACAAACAAAAUACAAAGAAUAAAUAACUGAGUUAUACAACACAUAAACACUUAGUUGUACCAGUUACACUAAUUAAAUUAAAAAUAAUAUUACUAGUUCUACCAGCAAGCCUAGUUAUACAACAACAACACCAUCUCAUUAAACAGUUAUACAAAAUACUUCUCUAGUUAUACUAGUCAGACUACGUAUAAGAAGCGUAGUUGUACCAGUUAUAUUACUUAUAAAAAAAAAUUUACUAGUUAUCCUGAAUUUGUUUACAACAUAUUAUUACCAGUUGCACCAUUUUCACUCUUUUAGUUGUACUAGUAAUUUAAUACUCGGUUGUAUUAGUUAGACUAAUUAUACUUUUCAUAGUUAUACCAGUUAUAUUAGUUAUAAGAAGUGUGGUUGUACUAGUUAUACUAGUUCCAUUGAUUCUGUUUUACAACAUUUUAUUACCAGUUGAACUAGUUUCAUUCUUUUAGUUGUACUAGUUACACUUCUUAUAUAAUCACUACUUAUUUUUUUUUUCGACCCUAUGAUAAAUAUUUCUAGAACCAUUUAAGUUGACUUGUUUACCGUUCUUGGAGCGUCGUUGUCAAUGGCAGCAGAUCCAAUAGCAGCCUCAUGUGAAUUUGAAUCUAUGUUGUUAGAUCCAAUCUGCUCACGGUUCCUAUUUGUUAGUCCAAUUUUAUCAUAAAAAUUCCAAAACCAUUUUAAUUGAUUUGUUUACCGUUUGCCCGUCAUUGUUAAUGGCAGCCUCGGGUGAGCCUGAUUCUCUGUUGGUAGAAGUUAUUGGAGCUUGCAGUGGAUUCUCCGCCUCAUUGGGUGUUUGAGUAGGUGAUUUUUGUGGCUCAAUCGGAACUGAUGGGCUUGGCGUACCCUCUCUAUCAUCCUGCGAAGGUAACUCCGUUGAUAGUGGCGGAUAAUGAUCAGGAUCGGCUUGAUGUUCUGGUGAAGAUGCGGUCUGAGGCCGCUUGGUUGGAUUGGACGAGGACUCAUCGUCUACACCACUGUCUCGCUUCCUCUUCUUCUCUGCGGUUUCAAUCUUCUUUUUCUCUGCAUCUCUUUUUUUUUUAACGGCUUCUCUCCUCCUUUUCACCGCUGCUUGUUUUUUCUUUAUCACAGAGUCUUUCUUCUUCUUUUCCGCCUCAGCUUUCUUCUUCUCCACCGCAGCUUUCUUCUUCUCCACCACUGACUCAUUCUUCUUCUUCUUCUCCGGCGCACCUUCUUUGUUCGUUUGUUCGGUGAAACGAGUCUUUGGAGCCAUAGUGUUUCAAAGAGUAACACGAAAUAGAGAAACAAAUGAGAUAGAGGGAGAUCGUGAUGAUUGUGGUAGAGUUUGAUUAGUGAGAUGAGAUAGAGGGAAGGGGGAGAGAUCGUGAAUUUUUUUCUGUUGGUUAUGUCGGGGAAGAGGAAUUAGGGAUUUAGUUUGAUUUAGGGGGAAGGAUCCGGGAAGGGCACGCGGGUCGGGUUAGUGGGUGGGGUAGGUUGGUUGGAUAUGUAAAUAAGUUAAAGUUUUAGGUUUUAUAGUAUUUUCAGCUUAAUUUCGAUUUAUUAUUAAUUCAUUAAAAAAAUAAAAACAGAAGUGUCCUUUUCCAGAUUUUUGUGUGCCCAUUUGGUCGAUCUCAGCAUUUGAUUCGAUAAUACCGUGUAGAAGUGGUGAGGAAGCUGAAUAAGUCUUCAUCCACUGUUCUGUCUCGAACUUCUCCCGCUUCAUAUGGGCAAGCGCUUGACUGGUUCUGUUUCUCAAUGACAGAGUCACAGCUGCCGCAGGUCUUUAGCACAGGGCUUGGUGAAGACAGUGUUGAAAGGCUUAGUCGUGGUCGCUGGGUUUUUUUUUUUUUUUUUUUUUUUUUUUUUUUGUAAAUG
rnacentral:lncRNA from 1 species